rnacentral:rRNA from 1 species
AUUGAACGCUGGCGGCAGGCCUAACACAUGCAAGUCGAACGAGUGGCGGACGGGUGAGUAAUGUCUGGGAAACUGCCUGAUGGAGGGGGCUAACUACUGGAAACGGUAGCUAAUACCGCAUACCAUCGGAGGUGCCCAGAUGGGAUUAGCUAGUAGGUGGGGUAACGGCUCACCUAGGGGACGAUACCUAGCUGGUCUGAGAGGAUGACCGACCACACUGGAACUGAGACACGGUCCAGACUCCUACGUGAGGCAACAGUGGGGAAUAUUGCACAAUGGGCGCAAGUCUGAUGAAGCCAGGCCGCGUGUAUGAAGAAGGCCUUCGGGUUUUAAAGUACUUUCAGCGGGGAGGCGUUACCCUCAGAAGAAGCACCGGCUAACUCCGUGCCAGCAGCCGCGGUAAUAC